rnacentral:rRNA from 1 species
UCGGAAUUACUGGGCGUAAAGGGCGCGUAGGCGGCCUUCUAAGUCGAACGUGAAAUCCCUGGGCUCAACCCAGGAACUGCGUCCGAUACUGGGAGGCUUGAAUCCGGGAGAGGGAUGCGGAAUUCCAGGCGUAGCGGUGAAAUGCGUAGAUAUCUGGAGGAACACCGGUGGCGAAGGCGGCAUCCUGGACCGGCAUUGACGCUGAGGCGCGAAAGCCAGGGGAGCAAACGGG